rnacentral:rRNA from 1 species
GAUGAACGCUGGCGGCGUGCCUAACACAUGCAAGUCGAGCGAAGCGCUGUUUUCAGAAUCUUCGGAGGAAGAGGACAGCGACUGAGCGGCGGACGGGUGAGUAACGCGUGGGCAACCUGCCUCAUACAGGGGGAUAACAGUUAGAAAUGACUGCUAAUACCGCAUAAGCGCACAGGACCGCAUGGUGUAGUGUGAAAAACUCCGGUGGUAUGAGAUGGACCCGCGUCUGAUUAGGUAGUUGGUGGGGUAAAGGCCUACCAAGCCGACGAUCAGUAGCCGACCUGAGAGGGUGACCGGCCACAUUGGGACUGAGACACGGCCCAAACUCCUACGGGAGGCAGCAGUGGGGAAUAUUGCACAAUGGGGGAAACCCUGAUGCAGCGACGCCGCGUGAAGGAAGAAGUAUUUCGGUAUGUAAACUUCUAUCAGCAGGGAAGAAAAUGACGGUACCUGAGUAAGAAGCACCGGCUAAAUACGUGCCAGCAGCCGCGGUAAUACGUAUGGUGCAAGCGUUAUCCGGAUUUACUGGGUGUAAAGGGAGCGUAGACGGAUAGGCAAGUCUGGAGUGAAAACCCAGGGCUCAACCCUGGGACUGCUUUGGAAACUGCAGAUCUGGAGUGCCGGAGAGGUAAGCGGAAUUCCUAGUGUAGCGGUGAAAUGCGUAGAUAUUAGGAGGAACACCAGUGGCGAAGGCGGCUUACU